rnacentral:rRNA from 1 species
CACGUAGGGGGCGAGCGUUGUCCGGAAUUACUGGGUGUAAAGGGCGUGUAGGCGGGAGAGCAAGUCAGAUGUGAAAGCCCAUGGCUUAACUGUGGAAUUGCAUCUGAAACUGUUUUUCUUGAGUGCUGGAGAGGAAAGUGGAAUUCCUAGUGUAGCGGUGAAAUGCGUAGAGAUUAGGAGGAACACCAGUGGCGAAGGCGGCUUUCUGGACAGUAACUGACGCUGAGGCGCGAAAGCGUGGAGAGCAAACAAG